rnacentral:rRNA from 1 species
CCUACGGGGGGCAGCAGCAAGGAAUUUUCCGCAAUGGGCGAAAGCCUGACGGAGCAACGCCGCGUGCGGGAUGACGCUUUUCGGAGUGUAAACCGCUUUUCUCAGGGAAACGGUACCUGAGGAAUAAGGCCCGGCUAACUACGUGCCAGCAGCCGCGGUAAUACGUAGGGGCCGAGCGUUGUCCGGAGUUAUUGGGCGUAAAGCGCGCGCAGGCGGCUUGGCGCGCCCGACGUGAAAGCCCCCGGCUUAACCGGGGAGAGUCGUCGGGUACGGCCAGGCUUGAGGGCGGGAGAGGUUGGUGGAAUUCCCGGUGUAGUGGUGAAAUGCGUAGAGAUCGGGAGGAACACCUGUGGCGAAGGCGGCCGACUGGGCCGACCUGACGCUGAGGCGCGAAGGCGGGGGAGCGAACGGGAUUAAUACCCUUGUAGUC